UGUAAGCGUAUACCAAAGUUGUUGCAGUUAAAACGCUCGUAGUCGGAAUUUGGCAGUUCCGGAUGUGUGCACGUCGUGUGCGCACUUCGCGGGGAUUGCUUUUGUGGUCUUGCGUAGGAUGAGGCACUUUUAUUAGUGAACGUCCUCACGCAACCACUUUUUACUGUGAGAAAAUCAGAGUGCUCAAAGCAGGCAUUUGCCGUGACUGUAUUAGCAUGGAAUAAUAGAAUAGGACUUGGUUCUAUUUUGUUGGUUUGUUGGGACUGAGUAAUGAUUAAGAGGGACAGUUGGGGGCAUUUGUAUUUCGGUGCUAGAGGUGAAAUUCUUAGAUUACCGAAAGACAAACUGCUGCGAAAGCGUCUGCCAAGGAUGUUUUCAUUGA
rnacentral:rRNA from 1 species